AGGGGUAGAGCUUAGUGGUAGAGCACAUGCUUAGCAUGCAUGAGUUCCUGGGUUCAAUCCCCAGUACCUCCA
rnacentral:tRNA from 1 species